ACUCAUGAGUAAUCUGCACCCAUUUUGAGAGAAGUGCCUUACACCAAGAGUACGGCCUGUGAGCAGAAGUGCAAAAAUUGAAGCUUAGAGAUGGAACAAAUCAGGCAAUAGCAACUGCGCACAGCUGAGUGGGCAAAGCCUUUGAAAAUAUGAGGGACAACUGUGCAUAUCAUUCAACGGCACUAGAGCUCCCUGCACAUCACAGCAAUGCAGAACUUGGACCCUGUUUAAGGAAGCAGAGGAUCAGGACCAGUAACCUGGAGUCAUCUGAAUUAUAUGCCUCAAAUGGAAUCACUUGGAAAAUGGAUAAAGCAGAAUCAUCUUAG
rnacentral:lncRNA from 1 species